rnacentral:rRNA from 1 species
UACGUAGGGUGCAAGCGUUGUCCGGAUUUAUUGGGCGUAAAGAGCGUGUAGGCGGCCAGACAGGUCCGUUGUGAAAACUAGAGGCUUAACCUCUAGACGUCGAUGGAAACCGUCUGGCUAGAGUCCGGAAGAGGAGAAUGGAAUUCCUGGUGUAGCGGUGAAAUGCGCAGAUAUCAGGAAGAACACCCGUGGCUAAGGCGGUUCUCUAGUACGGUACUGACGCUGAGACGCGAAAGCGUGGGGAGCGAACAGG